rnacentral:rRNA from 1 species
GAUCCUGGCUCAGGAUGAACGCUAGCGACAGGCCUAACACAUGCAAGUCGAGGGCAGCGCGGAGUAGCAAUACUUGGCGGCGACCGGCGCACGGGUGAGUAACACGUAUGCAACCAACCCAUAACAGGGGGAUAACCCGGAGAAAUCCGGACUAAUACCGCAUAAGACCACGAUAUCGCAUGAUAUAGAGGUCAAAUAUUUAUAGGUUAUGGGACGGGCAUGCGUCUGAUUAGCUGGUUGGCGGGUAACGGCCCACCAAGGCAUCGAUCAGUAGGGGUUCUGAGAGGAAGGUCCCCCACAUUGGAACUGAGACACGGUCCAAACUCCUACGGGAGGCAGCAGUGAGGAAUAUUGGUCAAUGGGCGAAAGCCUGAACCAGCCAUGUCGCGUGAAAGGAUGAAGGUCCUAUGGAUUGUAAACUUCUUUUGCAGGAGGGUAAAGUGAGCUACGUGUAGUUCAUUGCAAGUACCCUGCGAAUAAGCAUCGGCUAACUCCGUGCCAGCCGCCGC